GCGGACGGGCGAGUAACACGUGGAUAACCUACCUAUAAGACUGGGAUAACUUCGGGAAACCGGAGCUAAUACCGGAUAAUAUAUUGAACCGCAUGGUUCAAUAGUGAAAGACGGUUUUGCUGUCACUUAUAGAUGGAUCCGCGCCGCAUUAGCUAGUUGGUAAGGUAACGGCUUACCAAGGCGACGAUGCGUAGCCGACCUGAGAGGGUGAUCGGCCACACUGGAACUGAGACACGGUCCAG
rnacentral:rRNA from 1 species